rnacentral:lncRNA from 1 species
GGGCUUCCUUUCUAGAGCUUGGAACGGGGUAGGUAACAGUCUUCUUUUCAUCUUCCAGAUAAGAAAAAAUGAAAAGACAAACAAUAUGCAGUAAUGUAAGAUGCAGGUCCCCUGCAGGCAAGACUAAGGCACCUCUGCCUGGAUUAGGGAAGAGAAGAAAGAAAAUAGAUACACCGAGGAUGAGCAAGGGUGCUAAAGAGAAAGGAAUGCGUCAUGAUAUCGAGGCAUGUUUGAUGGACAUAAAUCCCAGGUCUCGAAGGACAGGGAACCCAUGCUCCAGUUCUUCCCAGAUCUCACUUCUCUCACCAGCCCUGGAAGCAGCAUUUCAAACAACCCUAAAAAUGAAAAUAAUACCUGUCCUUCCUGAAGGAUUACUAGAGAGUUGAUGUUGCACACACCAUCCAGGCAUAUUUAAUGAAGGGACACAGCAGGCCAGAUUGGACUUGCCCUGGUAAGGUUCUUUGUCAGGAUUGAGGUCCAUCAGACUUUCCCACUAUGAUAAAGCCAUGUAAGUAAUCGAGAGGGUGAGACGGUGGGUAUUCCACUCCCC